AUUGAACGCUGGCGGCAGGCCUAACACAUGCAAGUCGAGCGAGCGGCGGACGGGUGAGUAAUGUAUGGGGAUCUGCCCGAUAGAGGGGGAUAACUACUGGAAACGGUAGCUAAUACCGCAUACCAUCGGAUGUGCCCAGAUGGGAUUAGCUGGUAGGUAAGGUAACGGCUUACCUAGGCGACGAUCCCUAGCUGGUCUGAGAGGAUGAUCAGCCACACUGGGACUGAGACACGGCCCAGACUCCUACGGGAGGCAGCAGUGGGGAAUAUUGCACAAUGGGCGCAAGCCUGAUGCAGCCAUGCCGCGUGUAUGAAGAAGGCCUUCGGGUUGUAAAGUACUUUCAGUCGGGAGGCGUUACCGACAGAAGAAGCACCGGCUAACUCCGUGCCAGCCGCCGCGGUAAUAC
rnacentral:rRNA from 1 species